AAGAGGAGCUUAGCUGGUGUUUGGUCAGGGAUGAGUGGGAGAGUUACUUGUAGGGAAGCUUUUCCUGUUCGUGGAUACCAUCAGUACUACAUGUGAUACUUGAUGUAAAAGUUUGGUCCCUUGUUCCAGGAAAUGUUCUACAACCUCCAGCAAGAAGAAGCUGUUUCCUGAAUCAGCUCAAGCUAAGUCCCCUGAAAUCUAGACUUUUGGUAAGACCUAUGGGACAGAGUAAGUGAGCACAAAAAACUGUGAAGUAAUAUGGACUGGAGUCUGGUAAACUGGAGGGCUGGGCAGUUCUAAAGAGACAUCACAAGUUUUCCAGCAACGGUGGUUCCAAAAGGUAAGGAUUUCAGAGCUUUCCUCAGUCAAGGUCACUGCUGGCAAAUAACCUACAGGUUUUCUGAAUUCCUGUAGCCUCUUUGGAUUGCUCACCAUUAUUCUGGGCCUGAAAGAUAAGAUCCUGUGGUCCUGCAAUGACUUUUGUAACCCAGUCACUGCACCUGUAUGUACUGGUAAUGUGUCUGUCCUUUAUUAUUGUUUGGCUUUUGCUGCCAUGCCACAUGGACAGGGAUGUUCCUCCAAGCAUUAAUGUAAAGAUCCAAAUCUGAUUUGUUGGGCCCUUUGAUUCAAAUAUUUUGACAGUUUUCAAGGCAAAUUGUCAUUUAAAACUUGUAUGUUGAAUGUCUGUUUCUUCUGGUCCUGUUUCCUUGGAUACUCCAGAUAGAGGGACCACAGGGCUCAGUCAGUUACACAUAUUGUGAUUAAUAUCAUAGCUGUUGCUGCUGCUGCUGUUGCCUAGGGUGAUUCUUGGCCAUCCAGUUGAUGCCCACACCCAAACAACCAGUCUAACAAUUAGGGGAAUUUGAGGCAGUCUACUAAAUUUCUCCCCAACACCAUAAAAUAAACGCCUUCCCUUUUUUUUUCUUCUGUCAUCUUCCUUAGGUGUAAUAAGUGUCUGCUUCCUACCUCAGGGUCUUUGUGGGAGCAGAGUCAUGGAGGGUAAUUACAGCAGUGUUUUCUACCAUAUGUAAUUAGCUAUGCUUAGCUCAUAAAAUGCCCCAGUCCUGGUAAGUGAGUUAGGGGUCCCUUGUACUUCCGGCAAAACUGCUGUCUCAUGUUUCUUGGAACUGGUGGAGGAUAAUGUGCUCUCCUAAAAGCAAGCCAAAACAAAGCCCAGUGACUCUGAUCCUUUGACCUGCCUCGGGUACCAGUUUGGGUAAUUCUUUCAGCCUAGACUUCUGAUUUAGGGAUUCAGCAUUAUAAUUUUUGAGAGGUCACAUUUAGUCCCAAACAAUCUACUUGAUGUAGAGGAUUUUUAUUCUUAAAGCCAAGCUCUAUAUAGCACCCUAAAUGAUAAGUGACCAUCAUCAUAAUCACUAAUUAGCAAUCAUAAUCAAAGUGACCAGAGUAGAUGGGAGAAAUGGGCAAAACUCUGAAGAGGACUUUGGUAAUAACUAUGGAGAAGGAAGUAUUUCCAUUAGCUGAUCAUUCAUCCACUUGUUUAUUCAUCAAGUGUUGAUCAUCCACGUGCCUCCAGGUUGGUCAACCCAGUAUUGAACCUAAAGUUGUCAUGCUGGGGCAUAGGUGUUCAUGUGACCUAAGACAUGCUAACGGGAGUCAGAGGACUUACUGGAAAUGUGAAGAAAAGGACCAUCUUUGCCCCAGGAGUUCAUGUGCCAGAUUUGGGUAUUGUACCUGCAGCAUUCGUCUUUCCUUUUCAAAAGAGAGAUCUGCCUGUAGAGUAAACCAACAGAGACACUUAAAUGACAAGAAGAGAUGGUCCUUGGACAGCAGUGAAAACGCUACUUCGUGUGCUUGCAUUCUGUGGUUCGAGUCCACUCUCUUGUGCUUCCAAUUACAGCUUCCUGCUAAUGUGCACCCUGGGAGACAGCAGGUAAAUGGUACGAAUAUGUGCGCCCUUGUCACCCACAAGGAAACCUGGGUUGAAUUCUGGGCUCCUGGCUUUAGCAUGACUCAACCCUAGCUGGUGUGGGUAUUUCUGGAGAGUGAACAAGUUGAUGUAAGUUUGUCUGUUUGCCUUUGUCUUUCAAAUAAAGUACACAUUUUAAAGAGUA